GAUGAAGAACGUAGCGAAAUGCGAUAAGUAGUGUGAAUUGCAGAAUUCAGUGAAUCAUCGAAUCUUUGAACGCACAUUGCGCCCCUUGGUAUCCCGAGGGGCAUGCCUGUUCGAGCGUCAUUUCACCACUCAAGCCUGGCUUGGUGUUGGGCGACGUCCCCUUUAGGGACGCGCCUCGAAACGCUCGGCGGCGUGGCACCGGCUUUAAGCGUAGCAGAAUCUUUCGCUUUGGAAGUCGGGGCCCCGCCUGCCGGAAUACCUACUCGUAAGGUUGACCUCGGAUCAGGCAGGGAUACCCGCUGAACUUAAGCAUAUCAAUAAGGGAGGA
rnacentral:misc_RNA from 1 species